GUUGCGCAGUCAGUCAAGCACAGUCCACGGGCAAAAGUAGUGGGGCUGCUGAGAAGAAAGAUGGCCGCCACCAGCGAGGAACGGAGUGUUAUGGAGGCUUCUCAGACGAAUCCCGGGCAAAAUCAGCCCGUUGAUCCUCUCAAGAUGCUCUAUCCGAUGGUUAACGAAGAGGAAACGCCGUUGCCAAGGUCUUGGAGUCCUAAAGACAAGUACAAUUACAUCGGCCUCUCCCAAAACAAUCUUCGUGUUCACUACAAAGGUUAUGGAAAGACUCACAAAGAUGCAGCAAGUGUGCGUACAACACAUUCUAUACCAGCAGCUUGUGGUCUCUAUUACUUUGAAGUGAAGAUAGUCAGUAAAGGUAGAGAUGGGUACAUGGGAAUUGGUUUGUCUGCCCAUGGAGUUAAUGUUAACAGGCUGCCAGGGUGGGAUAAGCUCUCCUAUGGAUAUCAUGGUGAUGAUGGACACAGUUUCUGUUCCUCGGGAACAGGGCAACCUUAUGGGCCAACCUUUACUACAGGCGAUGUAAUCGGCUGUGGUGUAAAUCUCGUUGAUAACACUGCCUUUUACACAAAGAAUGGACACCAUCUUGGUAUCGCCUUUACUGAUCUUCCGCCAAAUUUAUAUCCAACUGUUGGUCUCCAAACACCAGGGGAGGUAGUCGACGCAAAUUUUGGUCAGGAACCUUUUGUUUUUGACAUUGAUGAUAUGCUUAAUGAACUUCGUGUCAGAACAAGAUUACAGAUUAUCAACUACCCAACACCAGAUCAUGGACAGGGUCAGUGGCAAGCAGUUCUUCACAAAAUGGUCUCAACAUACUUGGUUCAUCACGGUUAUUGUGCCACUGCCGAGGCAUUUGCCAACAGUACCGGUCAGGUAUUUGAGGAAGAUUUCAACUCUAUAAAGAAUAGACAGAGAAUUUUAAAGUUGGUAUUGGCAGGUAGAAUGGGCGAGGCCAUAGAGUUAACCAGUCGACUGUAUCCUGGUCUCCUCGAGGAAGACCCGAAUCUUCUUUUCGCCCUGAAGUGUCGUCAAUUUGUUGAAAUGGUGAACGGUAGCGAUUCUGAGGUUUGUCAGAAUUCCAAUGUUAAUCAAACCAGUGUUAUACAGUCUACAAAGGCUUACACCAAGUCCUCAGCGAACGGCAACGUCGAAGAAAUGAAUAUCAGCAACACGAUUAAUGGUUCUACUGAACAACAGUUUAUAAACGGACAAAUUGAAGACGAUGUAGAUAUGGAUGAGAAUAUAGUGAACGGUGUGAGAAAUAACAAUGGCUACCAAAAUGGUGAUUUAAACACCAAUGGAUAUAAGUGUCGGAAUGGAGAAGAUGUCGAUAUGGAAAUCGACAACACUAAUCAAAUUCAACAACAACAGAAUGGGAGUUGCAACCCAGAGAACACAUCGAAUAAGGCUAAUAAGAAACAGCUGUGUGGUGGUGAUAAACAAGCGAUUGAGAAAAUGUUAGAAUUCGGCAGACAACUUUACUCUCAGUCGAUACAUCUGCGAACUCAGCAUGGCAAAAAUGAAAGCAAUAAAAAAAUGCUUCAAGAUGCAUUCAGUCUUCUUGCUUAUGCGAAUCCGUGGAAUUCGCCGGUUGGAUGGCAGCUUGAUCCUCAACAAAGAGAAACUGUUUGUGCAAGACUCAAUUCUGCCAUACUUGAAUCGAGUAACUUGCCACGACGACCACCGCUGGAAGUCGCUGCGUCCCACGCGAGAGAACUGGUACGGCUGAUGUCUCGCGCUGGUCUUGGGGCAUGCGGCUUCGCGGUUGUAGACAAUAUCAUCCAAUAUUGACGGUGCCUACUCCUGCUGCCACGUCUGCUUCUUCUUCUGCCGGCUCGAGUGUGGAUGUGGAGACGGAACGUGGAGCAGAUAAUACGCGACAUCGCGUGCCUCUUCAGCUAGAGUCCGCUCUAACGGCAGUUGGCUCUUUGGCUCGAUCUCAGGCAUACACUGAAACACAACGGAAUAUAUAUGUACACGGGCGCGAAAUCCACCAAAAGGUACACGAUGUUAUGUCAGGGGAGAAGAAAAAUUAUGAUAGUGGUGGUCACGUUCACGAUGCAGCUGAAGGAGUGUUUGGCUACCGAUACGAUUAAAGGAUACAAACGAGCGAGGAUCAUAAUGUAAUCGUAGCUACGAAUAACGAUAAAUACGAAAACGUAAGGACAUAAUCGAAGUCAGACAUUAGAUAAAAAUCAAAGAUGAACGUUGAAGAGCUGGAUGAGGCCGAGGAACGAAGGAUAAAGAUUAAGAUGUAUAACGCAAGAUAAGAAUGGUAAUUGUGAAACUGAAACUUUGAACGAGAUAAAUUUUUCGUUAAUGUUACAAAUAUAAAAACGAAGCUCGAAAGGAGUUUAUUUCGAAGAUGGAAAACGAGAUUGUUGAUCAAGAUUGUAACGCAGCUAAAUAGGAAGAGAUGGAAAACAAGGUUGACCAGCGAUGGUAAUGGAAGACCAGUUUGAAGAUCCAAAUAAAUUUGAGGACAAUGAUUUUAACACCUGCCAACCAAGACGACACUUUUCUCGUUUUCUCUUUUUAAUUGUACAGCUCACCAUCAUUUUGGAGUUGUUCCCUCGUUCCCAUAACCGACUGUCAUGAUGUACCAUUAUUAUUACCAUAACGAAACAUGCUUUUAUAUUUCGUCUUGUUUUAAAUGUUUUGCGAACGGACCGAUGAAUAUUUCAGGUAGGUUUUUUUACUUAUUUUAUCUUCCUGUCACUGAUCUAACAUCAUUCAAGCUUUUUCAUAUUUUCUAAGAUUUGAGAUCAGAGUAGUCGAAUUUGACCUCUGAAAAAUUGGUACAAUCAAUUGUAAUAUUUCUUUCUAAAUUUGAUUUUUCCUCAUGAUGCUCUUUAAUUUUGCUCAAAUUUAAUUUUUAUCUUCAUUUAUUCAGUUUCGCUACUCUCAUAUUCGCUAGACUGAUUUUAUUUAACUCUUUUUUUUUGUUAGUGUUUGCCAUUUUAAUGAAAUUUUAGUUUUAUUUAAAUAUAACAUGUCUUUUUGUUAGCGAGGAUAACCAUGGUACUGGUCAAGUACAUUUUUGCAAUGUAUUUUUCAGCUCGGUAAUUAUACAUUUUAUUGUAACUUUUAAAUACAUUGAACAUAGAUUCUAUUGAGAGUAAAAUAAAAAAUGGUAAUGUUGGUUUCUUAUUCGUCUUAGAAAUUGAUUGUCCUCGUUUUGUGAUUGUUAACUUUUUGUUCGUUUGAGAUGACUUAAAGUAACAAUAUUUUUGGCAUUAUUAUCUACAAUGGUAACGUUAACUUUCGAUUCAUACUUUUUGUAAAGUAACAAAUUAUAACAAAAUGGCUAGUAUUUGAAGUUAACCAUUACAUUUUUGACAUACAAUUUUUCGAUAUUUUAACUUAUAAUGAAAAAAUUGUCUAACCAUACUGUAAAUAUUUUACAUUUCUCAUCCUUAAUUCUUGGAGGUAUUUAAUUAGUUUGUUAUUUUUUGUAUAUCAAAAUCAAACUGUACGCAUAGAUUAUGAAAUUAUAAAUGUAACGUGUUUUAUAUCUUCCACUAAUAUUAGUAAGAAAUUUCAGAAUUUCAUAAACUUGAACCGUGGUUAUUCCUUUAAGUCAAAUUUGACUUUUUUUUCUAACAAAUCUUGUGUUUGCUUUUAAAAUCCCGAUCCACGCCAGUCCUGACUACAAUCUGAAAUUAUGUUCGGUUCUGUUUGAAAUAAAUUUUAAACACCUCUGUCAGCCGCCAUUCUUGUCGUAGGGAUCUCCUUUUUAUUUAAAAAACACAAAAAGGAAGUCAAGAAAAGUCUUGUCGAUAAUUAUUACGAUUAUCAAUUCUCAUCGAAUAUUCUGGGUAGCCUUUCUAAUCGUGUCGGCAAUGAGUCGAAUUUUGUAUCAAUUGUUAGUUUUUAAACGAAAUUAUACUAAAGAAAAUAUUCUUCAAUUAUUUGUCAUUAUUGCAAUUAAGGGUAGAGAGAUAAAAAUUGUUUCGCGUUGAUAUUAUUGAAUUUCAACCGCGUAAUAGAUAAGAGCAUUAAGAUAACGAUGAAGCAAUAAUUUUUAAGCUCUUUAAUUUUGUAUAUUUUUUUGUUAAUUACCAUAAAUUUUUACUAUUUUCUAUCGUUACGCUUUCGUACUCACGGAUUGGCAUUUUGUGUUUACAAAUCGACCAUAAUCGUCAUCGAUUAACUGUUUAAUCUUUGCUUUUUGUUUCGGUUGUAAACAAAAACUAAUCAUUAAUGUUGAUAUAUCGUGAUUACGUGAAAUUAAAAAAAAAAAAAAAAAAAUCGAGCGCAGAAAUCGAUGAAAAUUUCAUGACCCUGAAUUAUUGUGAAAUAUCGAAAAUUAUGACAGUUAUAUAAUAAAAAUUAAUAAAAGUUGUAUAAUUAAAGAGGACGUUGUAAAAUAA